AAAAAAAAAAAAAAAAAAAGAAUAUAUUUAUCUGAGGAGAUUAGCCAGUGAAUCUUUCCUUUAAGAGGUGGUGGAAAUGUAUUCAUUUUUAAAGUUAGCAUUGGUAAUAUUAGAAUAAUAAUAAUCUAAACAAUAUCUUGUGCUAUAGUCAGGUGUGAGCAGGGAAGGAGAGGGCUCCCCCACUACUCACACACCAGGUGUGUCGGGAGGCCAUCCUGUGAGGUCAGGCGGUUGUUAACUGUUUCUCUACAGUAAUAAUUGGUCACAGCUGGCACUAGGGAAAGACAGUCUCGUACCAGAUAGAAAACAGCUGAAACUGGUGAUCAGCAGCUUCCGGAUCAGAUCUCAGCGUUGGAUGAGCAGGAGAAGCAACGCAAGACCUCGGAAGCCUGCCAAGGAAAAGAGGAAGACAGUAACUUGACAGUGGAGAAACCUGGAAGCCAUUGCCUUAACCGAGUCAUGAAGAAUAACAACACCCGUCCUGGAGGCAGAAAAACCAUCUUGUGCCCAUGAGGGAGAACACCAAACAAAUCUGGAUGACUUCCUUGAGUAGCUGCAUUUAUAUUGGACUGUCUACCUCCUGACUUCUUGUCUUGUGAUGCUACAUGAAUUGCUGUCCACACCUUCUGCUACUUUCCUCUGUUGGCCAGAAGAAUAAUUUUAAUGUCGCCCAAAUGGAUUAUGCUGACCUCAACCCAGAUCCCCCUGGGAGAUAUAAACUUCUUAUAUGUUCCUGGCUGGGUCAUUGUAAAUAAUAUCUACAUGUAUCCCAAAGCUCUGAAUUAUCCUCAUCUGUAACAGACACAACGACUAAAUGGUAUCUGGAACGUAGUUAAUUUUCUGGAAAAUAUUCAAAGGAACAAAAUGAGCACUGCAAUACAAAAUUGCUGUCGACUUAACUUUUGCCAG
rnacentral:lncRNA from 1 species